UAAUGUUAAGGGAAAGGGAUGAUGGGUGAACGAUGGAUAACUAAUCUUGGUAGGUAGAAUUUGAAAUUGAAUGAAUUUCGAAUGAUAUUUAGUAGGAUUAGUCUGCCCAUUUUUCCCAUAGGUCCCAUUUCCAUCGGGCUUAUUUGUGUAUGGUAGUUUGCGGCUAAUCCUUCCAGAAAUCGUGGGAGGAUUUUUUG
rfam:Bacillus marisflavi strain JCM 11544 super9, whole genome shotgun sequence.